UCUCUGGUGGUUUAGUGGCUAAUACUCUACACUCCCAAUGCAGAGGACACAAGUUUGAUCCCUGCUCAGGGAA
rnacentral:tRNA from 1 species